rnacentral:rRNA from 1 species
ACUGCAUAGCUAGGGAGUGGGAGAGGUAGACGGUACUCUGGAGGAAGUGGUAAAAUCCUUUGAUCUAUUGAUGACCACCAGUGGCGAAGGCGGUCUACCAGAACACGUUCGACGGUGAGGGAUGAAAGCUGGGGGAGCAAACCGGAUUAGAUACCCGGGUAGUCCCAGCUGUAAACGAUGCAGACUCGGUGAUGCAUUGGCUUGUGGCCAGUGCAGUGCCGCAGGGAAGCCGUUAAGUUUGCCGCCUGGGAAGUACGUACGCAAGUAUGAAACUUAAAGGAAUUGGCGGGGGAGCACCACAAGGGGUGAAGCCUGCGGUUCAAUUGGAGUCAACGCCAGAAAUCUUACCCGGAGAGACAGCAGAAUGAAGGUCAAGCUGAAGACUUUACCAGACAAGCUGAGAGGUGGUGCAUGGCCGUCGCCAGCUCGUGCCGUGAGAUGUCCUGUUAAGUCAGGUAACGAGCGAGACCCUUGCCUCUAGUUGCCACCAUUGCUCUCUGGAGCAGUGGGGCGAAUUAGCGGGACCGCCGCAGUUAAUGCGGAGGAAGGAAAGGGCUACGGCAGGUCAGUAUGCCCCAAUCGUCGACCUGCAGGCAUG